AGCUUUAUAGUCAAUAAUGAUAUUAGACUGCAAUUCUAAAGGAAUAAAUAAAAUUUAUUAAGGCUU
rnacentral:tRNA from 1 species